rnacentral:tRNA from 1 species
GCUAGAUGGCUGAAUAAAGGCGUUGGUCUCUUAAACCAUUUUAUAGUUAGUACUUCUAGUUUA